AGGACGAACGCUGGCGGCGUGCCUAACACAUGCAAGUCGAACGGACUGAUUCCCUUCGGGGAUGAAAGUAGUGGCGGACGGGUGAGUAACGCGUGAGCAACCUGUCUUUCAGAGGGGAAUAACGUUUGGAAACAGACGCUAAUACCGCAUAACGCAUAGGUGUCGCAUGGCAUUUAUGCCAAAGGAGCAAUCCGCUGAAAGAUGGGCUCGCGUCCGAUUAGAUAGUUGGUGGGGUAACGGCCUACCAAGUCGACGAUCGGUAGCCGGACUGAGGGGUUGAACGGCCACAUUGGGACUGAGACACAGCCCAGACUCCUACGGGAGGCAGCAGUGGGGGAUAUUGCACAAUGGGCGGAAGCCUGAAUGCAGCAACGCCGCGUGAGGGAAGACGGUUUUCGGAUUGUAAACCUCUGUCUUUGGUGACGAAGAAAUGACGGUAGCCGAGGAGGAAGCCACGGCUAACUACGUGCCAGCCGCCGC
rnacentral:rRNA from 1 species